AGGAGCCGGAUGCGGGAAAGCUGCACGUCCGGAUCUGUGAGGGGGGCGUCGAGCGAUCGACGCCUCUACUCGAC
rnacentral:ncRNA from 1 species